rnacentral:rRNA from 1 species
GUGAGGAAUUUUCCGCAAUGGGCGAAAGCCUGACGGAGCAAUGCCGCGUGAAGGAUGAAGGCCUAUGGGUUGUAAACUUCUUUUCUUAGAGAAGAAUAUUGACGGUAUCUGAGGAAUAAGCAUCGGCUAACUCUGUGCCAGCAGCCGCGGUAAGACAGAGGAUGCAAGCGUUAUCCGGAAUGAUUGGGCGUAAAGCGUCUGUAGGUGGCUUCAAAAGUCUCCUGUCAAAGAUCAGGGCUUACCCCUGGGCCGGCAGGAGAAACUCUGAGGCUAGAGUUUGGUAGGGGCAGAGGGAAUUCCCGGUGGAGCGGUGAAAUGCGUAGAGAUCGGGAGGAACACCAAAGGCGAAAGCACUCUGCUGGGCCACAACUGACACUGAGAGACGAAAGCGAGGGGAGCAAAAGGGAUUAGAAACCCCUGUAGUCC